CUACAGCUCAGGUAAGUGAGGGAUGGGGGGAAAGGCAGCAGGGACACAUGGGGACACUGAGACACUAGGGGACACAUGGAGACACUAGGGGACAUAUGGGGACACUGAGACACUAGGGGACACAAACACUAGCACACAGACACUGGGAGACCUGGGAACACUGAGACACUUGGGGACACUGAGACAUUAGGGGACACUGAGACACUUGGGGACAUAUGGGGACACAGACACUAGGGGACACAGACACUAGGGAACACAUGGGGACACAGACACUAGGGGACACUGAGACACUAGGACACAUGGGGACACAGACACUAGGAGACCUGGGGACA